GCGGGAAUGGCGGAACUGGCAGACGCAUUUGAUUUAGAAUCAAGGUAUUGAGGGUUCGACUCCCUUUUCCCGUA
rnacentral:tRNA from 1 species